GACGAACGCUGGCGGCGUGCUUAACACAUGCAAGUCGAACGGAAAGGCACUGCUUUUGUGGGGUGCUCGAGUGGCGAACGGGUGAGUAACACGUGAGUAACCUGCCCUUGACUUUGGGAUAACUUCAGGAAACUGGGGCUACUACCGGAUAGGAGCUCCUGUUGCAUGGUGGGGGUUGGAAAGUUUCGGCGGUUGGGGAUGGACUCGCGGCUUAUCAGCUUGUUGGUGGGGUAGUGGCUUACCAAGGCUUUGACGGGUAGCCGGCCUGUGAGGGUGACCGGCCACAUGGGGACUAAGAGACGGCCCAGACUCCUACGUGGGGCAGCAGUGGGGAAUAUUACACAGUGGGCGGAAGCCGGAGGCAGCGACGCCGCGGGCGGGAUGACGGCCGUCGGGUUGUAAACCGCUUUCGCCUGUGACGAAGCGUGAGUGACGGUAAUGGGUAAAGAAGCACCGGCUAACUACGUG
rnacentral:rRNA from 1 species